UACGGAGGGAGCAAGCGUUGUCCGGAAUCAUUGGGCGUAAAGCGCGCGUAGGCGGCCUCGUAAGUCCGCUGUAAAAGUCACAGGCUCAACCUGUGAACGCCGGUGGAUACUGCGAGGCUAGAGUCCGGAAGAGGCGAGUGGAACUCCUGGUGUAGCGGUGGAAUGCGCAGAUAUCAGGAAGAACACCAACGGCGAAGGCAGCUCGCUGGGACGGUACUGACGCUGAGGCGCGAAAGCGUGGGGAGCGAACAGG
rnacentral:rRNA from 1 species